rnacentral:rRNA from 1 species
UACGAAGGGGGCUAGCGUUGCUCGGAAUUACUGGGCGUAAAGCGCACGUAGGCGGCUUUCUAAGUCGGGGGUGAAAUCCUGGAGCUCAACUCCAGAACUGCCUUCGAUACUGGAGAGCUCGAGUCCGGGAGAGGUGAGUGGAACUGCGAGUGUAGAGGUGAAAUCGUAGAUAUUCGCAAGAACACCAGUGGCGAAGGCGGCUCACUGGCCCGGUACUGACGCUGAGGUGCGAAAGCGUGGGGAGCAAACAGG